AGUCCCGUCCCCUCCCUCCCUCGGCCUCCCUGCCCAGCCCGCCUCCCCGGUCGCUCCCUCCCAGCCCCCGGCGUCCACCCCUAGGGGCCGUGGGCGCCCACGCAGGUGGGGACCGCGUGGUCCCGCCCCCCCAGGCCGCUGUUCGCCGCCGGGUCCGCGGGGCUCUCGGCCGCCCCCAUCCCUUUCUCUUGCUUCCUCCUCCGCCCCUUCCGCGCCCUUGCAGUCCGCGAUUCCCCCCCUCCCCUUCCCUCACCCCCUCUUCUCCCCACUUUCUCCCUUUCCUCCACGUCCUUUCUCCCUAACUCCCCUCCUUCUCCAUCGCUCCCUCCUGUAUCUCCCGCCAGUGCCCACCCUGCUGCACGCCGCUCAUUCCCACUUCGCGCCCGGGCACUAGGCAGUGAGGUCACCUAUGAGUUUGUGGGCCUGUGUAAGGGCCCUGGUACCCCAGUCACAGCUGGAAGGCUCUCAGAUCUCAGUUUGGCCAAAGGCACCUGGAGACCAAAGCAGGUAGAUGGUGGAGUGCCGCUGGGUUCUGUCUCAGUGGGUCCUGGAUAGUGUUGAGAAGCCUCCUGGUGAGUGAAUUUCCAGGUGGGGGACAGUGCAGAGGGGGACAGUGCAGAGAGGCCUCACUUUCCGAACCAUGGGCUUCCAGGAAAGACGCUGCCUGCCUAGCCAGCUGCAGUCACGAUGAAGCACUUGGGAGGGUUGACAGAUGUUGCCAGGAUCCCUGUCCCACUUCCACAGAAACAAAGCACUUAAAAUUCUCCUCUGUGAUGCAGGAAACUAUUUAUUACAUUUAGUGUCCAAAGGAACAAAAGAUGGGUGGCUUUGUCCCAGAUCCCAUCUGUAUUUUUUCCAUCAAAAGAAAAAAUACUCCACAGAUUUUUUGUUGUUGUUUUUCUUUCUUUUUCUUUUUUGAGACAAGGUCAUGAUUCUAUGUACUCAGAGUGUUCUGGAGCUUGAGAUCUUCCAGCCUCAGCCUCCUGAAGGCUGGGAUUGCAGGCAAGGACCACCACAUGACGCUAUUAAUAUAUGUGCAUGGAAAAUUGUUGGUUUGUUUAAGAGAAGGGGGUGUCAGAAGCAAGACAGAUUUUGUGGGUGUCCACCUGUCUUCCUGGGCGCUCCUCCAGAGUUUCUGUCCUUUCUUGUGGGCCCAGACUCCUAUCCUCGGGGAACCGAAUAGUUUCCUCUGUGGCUUGCCGUCUGAGGCACAGUUCUCAAAGCCUUGUGAGCUUUAAGCAGCUGCAUUUUCCCUCGGGUAGUCCAUACAGAGGUGUUCCACUGGAGCUGGGUGGUACUUAGCAUAGCACUCUGUGUCCAACUGUGUAUUCCUUGUCUUCUGUAGCACUGAGUACCAUGCUACUCUAGGAAAUCAGAGGUGGGCGGGACCAUCCAUUUUCAUCAGGAGCAAUGGACAUGCUUCAGAAAACUGACCUAAACACAGUUCGGUCCUCUAAAAUGAUCCCUGAGUGACGUUGUUGCCCAGGGGAUGAGAAUGGGUUUGCCUGGUGACUCCUAUAUUGGAAAGGGGCAGAGAAAGGUCAGGAAUUCUCACAGUGACCUUUUGGUCCAGAAGACACAAUCACGUUUUAUUACCCUUGCCUCUGUUCUAGUAGAUUAUUUGAAGGGUGUGACUUUAUUUCAGAAGAAAGCCCCUUGUUUAGAAACAAAUAUAUUUUCCCCAUUGCCUUGUGGAAGGGCUUGAAACUCCAUCAUCACAAUUCAUUGGAUUAAGCUUUUAUACACCACUAAAAUCCAAAGACCCCCAGGAGGAGACUGUUUGAGCCUGGCCUCCCUUGUGCCUACCUUAGUGUAAGAUAGUUUAUCAGUUCCCCAUUAAGGAGACAGGGAGAGAAGAGCAGAUCCAUACCCAACCCUGACAGACACCAAGGCAAUCAAGAGAGUUUAGGUGACCCAGUGGGAGAGGAAGCCAAGAUCUAGAGCCUGGCCGAGUAAGAAAAUAGCCUGGAUUUGAAUAACGCUGCUCAUCUCUGGGAUCUGCAAGGACCACCCCUCAACCAGUUGUUCUCAGACUCGGAGGCGAUUUAAGAUCAGCAAAAUCUUAGGGAAUGCAAUUGGCCAGGUAGAAAUGUGUUGAAUAAAAAUAUUUAGAAAAAGAUCUAAAAUACAUUGUAUUUCAUCAACAUCAUUUUAUCAAAAGGACAAGUUUUUUUAAAUCAAAUAAUUAGGGAGGUAGAGAGGAAUGUCAGUACACGCCUGUCAAGCUAGCACUUGGGAAACUGAGGCCAGAGGACCAAGAACACAAGGCCAGGCUAGAAAACAUACAGGAUACUGGCUCAGCAGCUUGGCAGGUUAAGGAGCUUGUCACCAAACUGGAUAACCUGAGUGCACUUCCCGGGACCUACAUGGUGGAAGAAGAGAAUCAACUCCCAAAUGUCCUCUGACCUCUACACACAUAUUAUGGCACAUGCCCUACCCCAAUACAUAGAUAAAUGAAGUCAAACUUUUGUUUUAAUUAGGGAGGAUCCAACAUUAUAGUAACAGAUCAUCUCAGUCCACCACAGACAGUCCUGGAGUGGGAGAUGGCUCCAGCUUGGUGAGUGAACAUGAGGACCUCUGUCUGGAACCCCAGCACCCACAGGAAAGCCAGACAUGGUAGCUCCUUCCUAUGACCCCACCACUGGGGAACAGAGACAGGAGCAUCCUUGGAGUUUGCUGAUCAGCCAGUCUAGCCAAAACAGGAUGCUCCAGGUUCAGUGAAUGACCGACUGGUCAUAUCUCAAAAGAAGGAAGAUGGAGAAGCAAUCAAAGAUGCCAUGUGUUGACCCCUGGCCUCUAUACCUGCACACAUAGGCAAGCAUACAUGCACAUCACACAUACACACAUACACACACACAUGCACACCAUACACAUAAAUACACACACCCCAUAGAUAGAUGAUAGAUGAUAGAUAGAUAGAUAGACAGAUAGAUAGAUAGACCUUUAGACAGAAUAUAAUUUGCUUGUGAUGAACUCACAACUUGUCUUUGUCUCCUUCUGCUAUAGGUCAGUAGGAACUCACCUCUGACCUGGCAUGGUCCUUAUGGGUACUUGGAAACCUUCCCCAGGUAAACAGCAUACCCAGCAUAAAGAGAUCUGUCCCCACAGAGACAUAUGACCCCUGGGUUUUAAGAGAUGGGAAGGCACUCUAUGGACUGUGGCAUGUCCCUUCUCCCUGAUUCCCUCCUAUAUAAAUCUCCAGGGCCCAGGCAAAGACUACUGACUCUAGGAAGUCUUCUGUCCUAAUUAGGGUUACUAUUGUUGUGAUAAAACACCAUGACCAAAGUAACUUGGGGAGGAAAGGUUUAUUUCACUUCCACUUCCACAUCACUAUUCGUUAUCAAAGGAAGUCAGGACAGGAACUCAAAUAGACCAGGAACCUGGAGGCAGGAGCUGAUGCAGAGGCCAUGAAGGGGUGCUGCUUACUGGCUUGCUCCCCAAGGCUUGUUCAGCCUGCUUUCUUAUAGAACCCAUGACCAACAGCCCAGGGGCUGCCACACCUUAAAUGGGCUGUGCCCUCCCCCAUCAAUCACUAAGAAAAUGCUCUACAGGUUAUGUCCAGAUCUUGGACAUCUAGAAAAUGGAAUAAUUUUCUCCAUUGAGGCUCCCUCCUUUCCAGAGACUCUGGCUUGUGUCAAGUUGACAUAAAACUAGCCAGCACACCCUUUCUCCCUCCCAGUUCAAAGCACAGUUGGUCAGUUCUCUCGCGUCCAUUGGCCACUUCUGCCCACGAUUGUGCUUGACUGGUAACUUACGCACCUACAUAAAACAAGGUCUUGGAAAUGACAUGCCGUUUCCUGGGCACCGUUGUCUGCCUGCCACACGCCUGAAGUGCAGACCAUUCAUGAAUCCUUCUCAUGUUGGCUUGCCUUUUCUCCCCACUCUCCUCCCCUCCCUGCCUCUUCUCUGCUUACGAUCAUAUUAUCUCCCAAUCUGUUUCCACACGCAGGCCCUCUUCUCUUUUCUGCAGUUUCAGUUAUUCAAAGGGUGGUGAAUGAACCACACCGUUUGUCUUUUCCAUCAAAAUGGGAGAGAAGCUUGCCAUCAGCCAGGGCUUCCAUCCCAGGAGGAAAACCCUGGUCUUUCCUCUCUGCCGCGGUCCUUCGGGGUCCAGCUGUGCCCUGCAGGCCUCUUUUCAUACUCGGUGUUUCCAUUCUCUGGUGCUUCCUAGAGUCUCACUUACAUUCCUUGUUUCGGGUCCCCUGCUUCUUACCACGCCCCUCUUGUUCUGUCCUUAAACCACCCCACUAGAUCCCAUUCUUAUCUCCUCAUCCUUAGCACUAUCUUCUGAACCCUGGGCUAUGACCAGCCAAUACUUCCUGAGACCACAGAGCCUGGCUCCGAGAAGCGCACUGGGGAGGGACAGGAACGCUGGUGUCCUGGUUGUUUCUAGGGGUUGCUGAAGGUCUCGGAAUCAUUCUGGCUGGAGCUCUGGUGUGCUCCGGAAUGAGCUCUAUUUCUGGGCCUGUCAAAUGAAAUGUCGUUGCUCCUAGUUAUUUUUGGCUCUUUGCCCUUCUGCAUAGGUGCAUGUUCAGCUCAAUUCUUCCCUUACCCUGAGCUGGGGAAACAGGCAGCUCCCUUUAGCCAAGCCUUUCCUGGGUCAGGAGUACCUGUGCUGUCAACAGCAGCUCACAACAGCAGUUCUUUGGGCUGCACAAUGGUGGUUUGGGCAGAGUAUGGGUGGGCCUUCCCAUCUUUGGCCUUCUUGCAGCACCAAAGAGUUUUGUGGACUGAAUAUCCCUAGGCAGGUGGAUGCAGGUGUCCAGAGCAUUAUUGUGUUUCCUACCCUGGCAAGCAUGCCUUCAGAUUCUUCAGCCAUCCUCAUAGGCACUUGGAAUAAGAUGGGGGGUGGGGACUGCAAGCUCAGAGAGAGCACAGAAACAUCGGCGUCUGGGGAAGGUACCCAGGAUACAGGAAGCCAAGGGCCUGUGUCUGUAGAUGUAGGGGUAUCUUUGGGUGAAUGAGUUGAAAGCACGUGUAUGGGGGGGGGGGAAGGAGUGCAGGGGAGAAAGAUUGAGCAGGAACACACAGGUGUUGUUAGGACAGAGUGAAAGGGAAAGUGAUCUGCACCUAGGGGAGAAAGUAACAGUGAAAUCAUCAAGAAGAGAUGGAGUGUACAUGAGAGGCCCUGGGAAGGCAGGCUGUGCCUACAAGUCAUGGCUGUGUUUCGUAACUGACCCUGCAGUCCUCCAGCAGCCAUUAGCAUGGAUUUGGGGCUUCUGGCUUAUUGGGAAUGUUCUGUAUCAAGCCGGAAAAAAAAAAAAAAAAAAACAGCAGCAGCAGCAGCUAGAUAGACACUGGCUAAUAAGCUCCGCAUCCAAUCAGGAAAAUCGGAGAAGGUGCAGCAAGGACCCGGGUCCUCUCAGCAGCUGCUUUCUCUACUUCUUCCCACUGAGGCAAGUCUUCCCGGUUCUUAUCACACAUCCCUUUGCUAUACUCAUUCACCGAAUCCACACGGCAAGCCCCUGAAAGCGGGGCCCCGUCAUAAUCAUCAAUCUUAGGUUACAGAUGAGGAAAUUAAGGUUCCUCGAAGUCCCAGGCCCGCUGCUGAAAGGCGCCAUAGCUAGUGUGAACUCUGGCACUUAGUUCGUAACAUCACUGUGGUCCUGGGGGUUGAGCUCAGGGGGCCGUGUGUGCUCAGCAAGCAUUCCACCACCCAGCUGCACCCCGGUUUCACUCAAAGCAUGGGGCUCCUCACCAGUGUGUCAGACUCGUGCCGAGAAGGACUCAUGAAGAGGCAGCCAGGCUCUGCUCAGAAUGAGAGGUUCCCACCUGGAUUUCAGACUCAGAUCUCUGUCCCUGCGUCACCAGCUGCUGAGGACCAUAGGUUGCCACGGUAGACACACCUUUCCAAGGCCCAGCUGACCACUGCCUGCCUGAGUUACCUCGGUUAGGCCCUAAUCAUUAUUGAACCUCUGUCUCUAAAACUGGGAACAAAGUGGCUGGUUUGCCCACUUACAUGGUACUGGGAAGGCAGGUGAGGUAGCUCCGUGGAUACAUAUAGCACACAGCACAUGGACAGGCCGUGGACAAGAGGAAAGCAUUGCUUGUGUGUGCUCACCAACUUCCCCUGGCGGCUCAUAGAGAAAGAGGCAUGAUUCCCAAGAUCCUGCAAAAUCGACAAAGAUGUAUAAAAGCCACUGAUCUCCAAAGAUGAUCCCAUCCAUGAACCAUAGCACUGUUAUGAUGCUGUGGGAAGACCUGACCUCUUGGAGAUGCCAGCUACUGUACGGGGGCUGCUGGGACUAACCCCCCUCAGUGAGAAGACCCAAGCUAGCCACAUGGAGGGAAAGAGCGAUGUGCAGCCAGUCUCCAGUCGGCCUAGCUCUACCAGCUCAGGUGCUGGUGGGUGAAUGAGCACACCAUCUCCAAUACCCAAGAGUCCCCAGGCAAACCACUUAGCAAAGUCUUGUCAAUCUGUGGAACCACUAAAGAGAAAAAUAAAUUGUUGCUUUGAGCCACUCAUUUUGGAGGCAGUUUGUUCUAUGCAAAAGAUAAAUGAAACAGAAUCCUGGGCUAAUAUUGGUAUUUUUAGCUGAGAUGUAUUGAGUUCAGAGCUUCCUAGCGGGCAAAGCAAAAAGAGGAGCAGAAUGGAUUGCCUGCAUCUAUUAUCUUGUACUGUAACCUACAUGAAUAUAGAGCCAAUCCAUUUCUUUGUAGUCAAAGCAAAAUGAAAUUUAAAACCACUUCCGUUACACGGACUCUGCUAUGUUUACCAGAAUUACACACAGCCCACUCUUGCAGAUUCUGUAACCUGUCCCACUGGGGCAAACCAAAAGAGUCACCAUCAUCGCAAAAGAGGAGCUGUCCCCAUGUCUGGGUGAAUCCGGCAGAUCAGCUCAAGCCUUUUUCCCCUCUUGUUAGACUUCCAGCGUUUCUUAUGCCUCCCGCUUCAGACUCAUCCCAAAUUAAGCCACAAACGGGCUCAGUGACUUCAGGGUCCUAAGCAGGCAGAAUUAAUGACGAAAAUAGAAAUGCUGAAAAUAGUGGAAACCGAAGCAGAUUGGAUGAUUUAUUCAAACCUUGAGGAGAAACGACUGUUCAGCCCCAAAUUGAAAUUUAGACCUGAGCUUUGUAAUCAACUAGGAUGCCACCUCUUUCUGGCAUUAACCCCAAAAAGGAGAAAGGAGAGAAAUGCAACCCUGCUGGUGUCCUUGGGUCCGCCCUGUAUGCUGAUGGUGCCUGGAGAAGUUCCUGGCACUUCUUAAAGCUGUUCUUCAUGAAGUAACCUUUGAGGUCAGAGAGGCUAACAGCAUGGAGUUUAAGAGAGCAGAGAACGUGGAUUCUCCCCACCGAGGCUCUGGCAAUGAGCACACCUUGCCCGUUGUCUCAUCUUAGAUGCCCAGAUGGUCACUCUUUCCCCCGGGGAACCCUAUUGUGACUCUCAGAAGAUAACAGAGUUGUCUUCUGUGCCUCAGCCUCGCCUUCUCAACUCAAUCACCUCCCUGGCUUUCACUCCCCUGAGGUGGACUUCAGGGGCCUUCCUUCUGCUGAAACUUGGUGGGAGAAAGCCCCAGGCUCAGAGUUCCUGGCCCUGAAUUUGCAUAAACAUCUUCUCCAUCUCAAGACAGUUACAUCUGUGUAUUGACUCAUUUUUCAUCGAGUCGGUGAAGUAAACCUGUGGUUGAAUUACAGGGCUUAAGAAGACAUGUGGUUUUUCAGCUCCCCAUCACACCUGUGGGUGUGGCUGUGUGUGGAAACGGGCUAUGUGGAUAGGGUCAAGGUCAAGUGAGGUCACAGGGUGGGCCCUGACUCAGUGACUGGGGGCCUGAUAGGAGGAGGGACACUUGGCCAUAGGUGUGCACAGGGGAGUGACAAUCAGACAUGGAGGGGACAACCAUGGGAAGGUGAGAGUGAGGUCAGAGUCGUGAGGCCAUAAGGCAGGGAAUGCCUGGAGCCAGAUCCUGCAGAGGUAAGGAAGGGUCCCCUCUGGAGGUCUGGGAGGGAGCACAUCUGCACACAGAUUUACUAGGGCCUUGGGGUAGGAUUUUCAUCUUCCUGAAUUGUAAGGAUAUGCAUUACUGUGGUUUUAUUUUUGAGACAGGGUCUCCUGUACCCAAAGUUGGCCUCUAACUCUAUAUAUAGCUGAGAAUGACCUUGAACUCUUGACCUUCUUAAGUGCUGAGGUUCCCUGCGUAUUCCAUCACACCUAUUAGUUUAUGCAGUGCUGGGGGUUGAACCCAAGACUCAAGGCAGGCAAAUCUCUGUGAGUUCAAGGCCAGCCUGGUCUACAAAGCGAGUUCCACGGCAGCUGGGACUGUUACAUAAAGAAACCCUGUCUCAAAAGAGGAAAAACAAACAAACAAACAAACAAAAAAACCUAAACCCAAGACUCACAAUGCUAUGCAAGUGCUUUACCAACUGAGCUGUAUCCCAGCCCCAAAUUUCUAUUGUUCGAGCGUAUGAUAUUUUGCUUUAGAAAAUCUACAAAAGUAAUACGUAGUUAAGUUCGGUG